rnacentral:rRNA from 1 species
AUUGAACGCUGGCGGCAGGCUUAACACAUGCAAGUCGAGCGGGGGAGGUUGCUUCGGUAACUGACCUAGCGGCGGACGGGUGAGUAAUGCUUAGGAAUCUGCCAUUUAGUGGGGGACAACAUUCCGAAAGGAAUGCUAAUACCGCAUACGUCCUACGGGAGAAAGCAGGGGAUCUUCGGACCUUGCGCUAAAUGAUGAGCCUAAGUCGGAUUAGCUAGUUGGUGGGGUAAAGGCCUACCAAGGCGACGACCUGUAGCGGGUCUGAGAGGAUGAUCCGCCACACUGGGACUGAGACACGGCCCAGACUCCUACGGGAGGCAGCAGUGGGGAAUAUUGGACAAUGGGCGGAAGCCUGAUCCAGCCAUGCCGCGUGUGUGAAGAAGGCCUUAUGGUUGUAAGGCACUUUAAGCGAGGAGGAGGCUACCUGGAUUAAUACUCUAGGAUAGUGGACGUUACUCGCAGAAUAAGCACCGGCUAACCCUGUGCCAGCCGCCGCCGUAACAC